UACGAAGGGCGCAAGCGUUACUCGGAAUUACUGGGCGUAAAGCGUGCGUAGGUGGUUUGUUAAGUCUGAUGUGAAAGCCCUGGGCUCAACCUGGGAAUGGCAUUGGAAACUGGCGAGCUAGAGUGCGGUAGAGGGUAGUGGAAUUCCAGGUGUAGCAGUGAAAUGCGUAGAGAUCGGGAGGAACAUUCGUGGCGAAGGCGGCUACCUGGACCAGCACUGACACUGAGGCAAGAAAGCGUGGGGAGCAAACAGG
rnacentral:rRNA from 1 species